rnacentral:rRNA from 1 species
AUUGAACGCUGGCGGCAUGCCUUACACAUGCAAGUCGAACGGCAGCACGGGAGCUUGCUCCUGGUGGCGAGUGGCGAACGGGUGAGUAAUGCAUCGGAACGUGCCCUGGAGUGGGGGAUAACGUAGCGAAAGUUACGCUAAUACCGCAUAUUCUGUGAGCAGGAAAGCAGGGGAUCGCAAGACCUUGCGCUCUGGGAGCGGCCGAUGUCGGAUUAGCUAGUUGGUGGGGUAAAGGCCUACCAAGGCGACGAUCCGUAGCGGGUCUGAGAGGAUGAUCCGCCACACUGGGACUGAGACACGGCCCAGACUCCUACGGGAGGCAGCAGUGGGGAAUUUUGGACAAUGGGCGAAAGCCUGAUCCAGCCAUGCCGCGUGAGUGAAGAAGGCCUCGGUUGUAAG